UAUAGCAUAGGAACGAAUUUGAGUUCUAUAAAAAUAUGGUUUAGCAAAAUAGAAAACAGAAAAAACAAUUAAUGAUAACCAAGGGAAUAUUCAGGUGAUGGGUGUUGAAUGUGUGAUAGAGUCUCACAUCGGUUAGGAGAGGGGAGGAAGUGCUGUAUAUAGAUGGGAGGUAGUACAUCUCCUUAGUACCUGGGGUUUUCAGCCUAAACUGGGCCUCAGGUACAACCCCUGCCAGCACAUGAGCCGUAUGGUUUGAGCCAGGCUAUGGGCUGGUAGAUAGGUUGGGCCUUAUGAUGUGUUCCUCCUUCUCUAUCAAUGUGCAACUGUGCAAGAUGGUGAUGACAGAGUACAAAGCCAAAAGCCUAAACUGGGCCUCAGGUACAACCCCCAGCACACGGGCUGUAUGGUUUGCCCCAGGCGAUGGGAGACCAAGGACGAUAGCAAGGAUUCAAAGCAUCGAACCGAAAGAUGUGACCGAUGUGAUUGAACCGAAGCUCCCAUUUAUGAUCUGGGCAAGGGUUUGAGGGCAGCUGUUGGAGAUGAUGAUGCGGGUACUACUGAAGUGGUGAUGAUCUAUCAAUGUGCAACUGUGCAAGAUGGUGAUGACAGAGUACAAAGCCAAAAGCCUAAACUGGGCCUCAGGUACAACCCCCAGCACAUGGGCCGUAUGGUUUGCCCCAGGCGAUGGGCUGGUAGAUAGAUUGGGCCUUAGGUACUGAGUGAUGUGUUCCUCCUUCUCUAUCAAUGUGCAACU